GCCAGGGUGAUGUAGUGGUUUGAGUGCUGGACUGUGAUUCUGGAGACCAGGGUUCAUUCCCAGCAUGGCCA
rnacentral:tRNA from 1 species